rnacentral:misc_RNA from 1 species
UGGUUCCGGCGUCGAUGAAGAACGCAGCGAAAUGCGAUAAGUAAUGUGAAUUGCAGAAUUCAGUGAAUCAUCGAGUUUUUGAACGCACAUUGCGCCCUCUGGCAUUCCAGUGGGCACGCCUGUCCGAACGUCGAUCGAAUCUUCGGGUGGAACCCGGUGUUGAAAGCGCUCCUGCCUAUCAAGCAGCUUUCGAAAACCAGCGGCGGAAUGAGCCGCGUCCAGCACGCUAUAAAAAAAUUCGUUGCUCUGACGCGGGCGUUCCGGUCGAUAUAUCCCCAGCGAGGGACAUUACCAGUUUCACUUCGGAUCAGGCGGGGAUACCCGCUGA